GGUUAAGCGACUAAGCGUACACGGUGGAUGCCCUGGCAGUCAGAGGCGAUGAAGGACGUGCUAAUCUGCGAUAAGCGCCGGUAAGGUGAUAUGAACCGUUAUAACCGGCGAUUUCCGAAUGGGGAAACCCAGUGUGAUUCGUCACACUAUCAUUAACUGAAUCCAUAGGUUAAUGAGGCGAACCGGGGGAACUGAAACAUCUAAGUACCCCGAGGAAAAGAAAUCAACCGAGAUUCCCCCAGUAGCGGCGAGCGAACGGGGAGGAGCCCAGAGCCUGAAUCAGCAUGUGUGUUAGUGGAAGCGUCUGGAAAGGCGCGCGAUACAGGGUGACAGCCCCGUACACAAAAGCGCAUGUGCUGUGAGCUCGAUGAGUAGGGCGGGACACGUGGUAUCCUGUCUGAAUAUGGGGGGACCAUCCUCCAAGGCUAAAUACUCCUGACUGACCGAUAGUGAACCAGUACCGUGAGGGAAAGGCGAAAAGAACCCCGGCGAGGGGAGUGAAAAAGAACCUGAAACCGUGUACGUACAAGCAGUGGGAGCACCCUUUGGGGUGUGACUGCGUACCUUUUGUAUAAUGGGUCAGCGACUUAUAUUCUGUAGCAAGGUUAACCGUAUAGGGGAGCCGGAGGGAAACCGAGUCUUAAUUGGGCGUUAAGUUGCAGGGUAUAGACCCGAAACCCGGUGAUCUAGCCAUGGGCAGGUUGAAGGUUGGGUAACACUAACUGGAGGACCGAACCGACUAAUGUUGAAAAAUUAGCGGAUGACCUGUGGCUGGGGGUGAAAGGCCAAUCAAACCGGGAGAUAGCUGGUUCUCCCCGAAAGCUAUUUAGGUAGCGCCUCGUGAAUUCAUCUCCGGGGGUAGAGCACUGUUUCGGCUAGGGGGCCAUCCCGGCUUACCAACCCGAUGCAAACUGCGAAUACCGGAGAAUGUUAUCACGGGAGACACACGGCGGGUGCUAACGUCCGUCGUGAAGAGGGAAACAACCCAGACCGCCAGCUAAGGUCCCAAAGUCAUGGUUAAGUGGGAAACGAUGUGGGAAGGCCCAGACAGCCAGGAUGUUGGCUUAGAAGCAGCCAUCAUUUAAAGAAAGCGUAAUAGCUCACUGGUCGAGUCGGCCUGCGCGGAAGAUGUAACGGGGCUAAACCAUGCACCGAAGCUGCGGCAGCGAACGUAUCACCCAAGACAACUUUGCGGAGUUGACGAUUGACGGAGCGAAGCGACGUCAAAGCGUUCAUUAAAGUCGAGUUGGCUUAGGGAUACGUUCGUUGGGUAGGGGAGCGUUCUGUAAGCCUGUGAAGGUGGCCUGUGAGGGUUGCUGGAGGUAUCAGAAGUGCGAAUGCUGACAUAAGUAACGAUAAAGCGGGUGAAAAGCCCGCUCGCCGGAAGACCAAGGGUUCCUGUCCAACGUUAAUCGGGGCAGGGUGAGUCGACCCCUAAGGCGAGGCCGAAAGGCGUAGUCGAUGGGAAACGGGUUAAUAUUCCCGUACUUGGUGUUACUGCGAAGGGGGGACGGAGAAGGCUAUGUUGGCCGGGCGACGGUUGUCCCGGUUUAAGCGUGUAGGUGUGUGUUCCAGGUAAAUCCGGUUCACUUUAACACUGAGGCGUGACGACGAGGCACUACGGUGCUGAAGCAACAAAUGCCCUGCUUCCAGGAAAAGCCUCUAAGCAUCAGGUAACAUCAAAUCGUACCCCAAACCGACACAGGUGGUCAGGUAGAGAAUACCAAGGCGCUUGAGAGAACUCGGGUGAAGGAACUAGGCAAAAUGGUGCCGUAACUUCGGGAGAAGGCACGCUGACACGUAGGUGAAGUGAUUUACUCAUGGAGCUGAAGUCAGUCGAAGAUACCAGCUGGCUGCAACUGUUUAUUAAAAACACAGCACUGUGCAAACACGAAAGUGGACGUAUACGGUGUGACGCCUGCCCGGUGCCGGAAGGUUAAUUGAUGGGGUCAGCGCAAGCGAAGCUCCUGAUCGAAGCCCCGGUAAACGGCGGCCGUAACUAUAACGGUCCUAAGGUAGCGAAAUUCCUUGUCGGGUAAGUUCCGACCUGCACGAAUGGCGUAAUGAUGGCCAGGCUGUCUCCACCCGAGACUCAGUGAAAUUGAACUCGCUGUGAAGAUGCAGUGUACCCGCGGCAAGACGGAAAGACCCCGUGAACCUUUACUAUAGCUUGACACUGAACAUUGAGCCUUGAUGUGUAGGAUAGGUGGGAGGCUUUGAAGCGUGGACGCCAGUCUGCAUGGAGCCGACCUUGAAAUACCACCCUUUAAUGUUUGAUGUUCUAACGUGGACCCGUUACCCGGGUUGCGGACAGUGUCUGGUGGGUAGUUUGACUGGGGCGGUCUCCUCCUAAAGAGUAACGGAGGAGCACGAAGGUUGGCUAAUCCUGGUCGGACAUCAGGAGGUUAGUGCAAUGGCAUAAGCCAGCUUGACUGCGAGCGUGACGGCGCGAGCAGGUGCGAAAGCAGGUCAUAGUGAUCCGGUGGUUCUGAAUGGAAGGGCCAUCGCUCAACGGAUAAAAGGUACUCCGGGGAUAACAGGCUGAUACCGCCCAAGAGUUCAUAUCGACGGCGGUGUUUGGCACCUCGAUGUCGGCUCAUCACAUCCUGGGGCUGAAGUAGGUCCCAAGGGUAUGGCUGUUCGCCAUUUAAAGUGGUACGCGAGCUGGGUUUAGAACGUCGUGAGACAGUUCGGUCCCUAUCUGCCGUGGGCGCUGGAGAACUGAGGGGGGCUGCUCCUAGUACGAGAGGACCGGAGUGGACGCAUCACUGGUGUUCGGGUUGUCAUGCCAAUGGCACUGCCCGGUAGCUAAAUGCGGAAGAGAUAAGUGCUGAAAGCAUCUAAGCACGAAACUUGCCCCGAGAUGAGUUCUCCCUGAGACUUAGAGUCUCCUGAAGGAACGUUGAAGACGACGACGUUGAUAGGCCGGGUGUGUAAGCGCAGCGAUGCGUUGAGCUAACCGGUACUAAUGAACCGUGAGGCUUAACCUU
rnacentral:rRNA from 1 species